rnacentral:tRNA from 1 species
AUUUAUGUAGUUUAAUUAAAACAUUACAUUUUCACUGUAAAAAUAAAAGUUAUUUUCAUAAAUU